rnacentral:lncRNA from 1 species
AAAAAAUUUAGGUCGUGCCCAAAAAAUUGCUACAAGUGAUGCAAAUAUACAUCACCACUAACAGCUGCCCGAAAACCAAAAGGGCUGCGGCGGGAACCCCAACCACCCAAAGUGAAACUUCACCUCACAGCUGCCGUCGCGCCCAAUUCCGACCGCCCUACGCCAAUGGAGUCAUACGAAGCAAGCCUUACCCCUGCACAGUGCAAUGCAGAGGGACUGCGUCGAACCCAUGACCUCUUGGCACAAGUGGGCAGAUCCUCCCCACUGCGCCAGACAGUCAAAAGAUCAUAUAAACUCAAUGGACCCAAAAAUAUCUCAAAUCAAACGGGAAGCAGCAAUAUUAGAAGUUUAACUAAGUGCACAUUGUUCUAUUUGACAACAGAGGUCUAAUUGAUAAAAUGAAUCAAAGCUAUCAAAUUAUUCUUUCAUGCCAAAAAAAAUUGAGGCGGAAGAGAUUGGCACAUACUGCACGAUGUUUGAAACUACCAGAUAUGCAAUGAGAUGACUGCACAGUAUGGCCAUAGCACGAAGGUUAGAUCCCAGGACAGACAGAGGAGAAAGGAGAGAGCAGGGACUCACCUAAGUAGUGGUAGCCGAGGAGGCAGUCGUGGGAGACCGGCGCUGAGAUUACGGGGUGAUAACCCCAUUGUCUCAUCGGCGCUGGAAGCAAGGUGGUGAAUCACCGUCAUCCGAGACCGCGGCAACGACCACCAGUCAUGGAAACGAGAGCUGCGGGUCUAUGUGCACGUGACGCCAUGACCAACUUGUUCACACGUCAAGAUUAGUUGCUGCCAAACAUCCUGGAUAACGGGAGAGAUAAAUAAGGAACAUGUUCUUGAUGGUUAGAACCUGAAUCUAAACUAUGCUGAGUUAGGGCA